AGAACGAACGCUUGCGGCGCGCCUAAUACAUGCAAGUCGAACGAGGUAGCAAUACCAAGUGGCGCACGGGUGAGUAACGCGUGGAUAAUCUGCCCUUCAGUGGGGAAUAACUAACCGAAAGGUCAGCUAAUACCGCAUGAGACCACAAUGUCUGCGGACAAAGAGGUUAAAGAUUUAUCGCUGAAGGAUGAGUCUGCGUAGGAUUAGCUAGUUGGUGGGGUAAUGGCCUACCAAGGCUACGAUCCUUAACUGGUCUGAGAGGAUGACCAGUCACACUGGAACUGAGACACGGUCCAGACUCCUACGGGAGGCAGCAGUAGGGAAUAUUGCACAAUGGGGGAAACCCUGAUGCAGCGACGCCGCGUGAGUGAUGAAGGCCUUCGGGUCGUAAAGCUCUGUUGUAUGGGAAGAAAAAUGACGGUACCAUAUAAGAAAGGGACGGACGUAACUUCGUGCCAGCAGCCGC
rnacentral:rRNA from 1 species